rnacentral:tRNA from 1 species
GCCUGGGUGGCUCAGCUGGUUAAGCAUCUGGCUUCGGCUCAGAUCAUGAUCCCAGACUCCUGGGAUCAAGUCCCACAUCAGGCU